rnacentral:hammerhead_ribozyme from 1 species
AUCCAGCUGUCGAGUCCCAAAUAGGAUGAAACACGUGUCCUGGAU